ACUCUAAACUUUUAUUGCUGCAAAACCCAGUAUUUUUGGUGUUCUCUGAUCAUUUGGGGGUUUUAUAGCAGGAUUGAAGCUUUAAACCUUGAACUAGGGAGACAAUGCCUGUGUUAAACCUUUUGCAGUAGAAUUUCAUUGCUGAAUUGCUGAUAGAACAGAAGCACUGUGGAUUGGUGGGGGUCCUUCCCCUUCCCACCCCCCACCCCCGCCUUUUUUAAUGCAGGAGAUGUUUAAACCAGUCAAAAGGAGAACUCAAUAAAUAAUUUUCUGGCAUGGGGCCAGAUCUCCUAGUUCAUGCCCUUUGAUUAUUUUCUUUAGUUGAUAUCUUGUCUUCUCUGCAAUAAUCUAUUAAUUUUUUAUGGCAGGAGAAACAGCCCUGCAUAGAGCUUGCAUAAAUAACCAAGUGGAGAAAUUGAUUCUUCUUCUCUCUUUGCCAGGAAUAGACAUCAAUGUUAAAGACAAUGCUGGCUGGACGCCUUUGCAUGAAGCCUGUAACUAUGGCAACACAGUGUGUGUCCAGGAAAUUUUGCAACGUUGUCCAGAGGUAGAUCUGCUCACUCAAGUG
rnacentral:sRNA from 1 species